CUAGUGCUCCCUCCGUCCGGAAUUACUUGUCGCGGGAACCUGUGUAUCUGAACAUAUUUUUAGUUUUAGAUGCAUCCAUUUCUGCGACAAGUAAUUUGGGACGGAGGGGGUAUAGU
rnacentral:pre_miRNA from 1 species